AUUGUAUUAUUUUAUCUUUAUUAGGGAGACCAGUAGAUUAGGGAGACAUAUUUUGGUCUCCGUAUUAUUUUGACCUUGUCUAAAAUGUAAUUGGCUUAUCUUUAAAUGAACGAACGGUGUGUCUUUGCCUAAAAUGCAUCAAUGUGUCUAUUAUUUGACAUCCAAUAGUUGCCUUUUGUCUAUAUUUUUUCGUAAAAAGGAAUUCAAUCUGCCUCCAUCGUAUAAUUAGCAAUGACUAUUUUUCUGCAUUUAGGAGACCAACGAAAACUUGCAAUAUUGCAAAAAAUCUAACAUAUAUAAUUUGUUUAGCCUUUAAUUAUUCUAAAUGAACUUGUUUUCAAAAUACGUUUUCACUUUUUAUGUAUAAAGCCUAACUAGAAAAAAAGUCGUUAAUUUCUUGACCAUGUUUGAACAUUUGGCAAGUGCUCUCCGCCAUUUGUUCCGAGUACUCUCGGAACGUCUCGGGUUAAAAUAAUGGACCUUUUAACGCCAGCGUGUUGCCUUUUAGGAAUCAAAGCCAUUUUAUGGUAAGUACUUUUGAUAAUCCUACUACAAUUGAACAAAGUAAUGUUUUUAUGAAGUUUUUUUUUAAAUAUUCAAAUAAAAUAGGGCGAUAAUGUGUGCAACUUGACUAUUUUACACCAAAUGUUGAUUAAUCUUCGAGGACAUUCGAAACGAAGUUAACAAUAAAAGCAUGAUUUUCAUUUCCACUGUACGUUUGAUGUAAUAUGUAAUUCAAGGAUUUAUCAGUACCUUCUCCAGAGCAAAAGUCGUCCCCAUUCCCAAUUGGAAAUAAGUUCACUUCAGCAGCUGUCCAAAUUAUGAUCCCAAUUUAAUUAGUAUAGCAGUAUUUUUCCCCAACUGGUAAAUAGUUCUUAUGUUUAUUUCUUAUCAAAAAAUACUUCGUAAAAUAACCAGAAUGUCCAUAAAUGUUCAGUAUUAACAAAUGAUUAAACCCAUUUAGCAAAACUGCAGUCAUAAAAGUUUCAAAACAUGCUGUAAACAUCGCCAACUUUUAAUCCGAUUUUCCUCUGUUUUUCUAAAACAUCGUUAUUUUGUGGUAUACAGUACAGUACUGUAAAUGGUACAUGUUUUUUUUUUACACACACUAGACUGAUAUAAAAGUAAAAGGUAAAUGUUAUGAAAUAUUUCAAACAGAAAAAUACAUUCUCAAUUUAAAAGGGGAUGUUGAUAAAUUCUUAAUAAUGUAAUACUUUUAUGACCAGUGUUGAAGGUGUUUAUUUCAGGGAAAAAGACUUGUUCUAAUAACUAAAUAUAGGAAUAUUAUACAUAUAUCUAUAUUGUGAAGUUAAUUAGAUUCUAUUCAAUUAAAGUCUAGCUCUUUGAUUUUCCAUUAUGAUAAUAAAUUCAGAAAUCAUGAUGUAUGCAACAUAUGAUUUCUCCCAACUGCAUGAAAUUGUCGAUACAAUUUUCCCAAUUCCAAAAAAAUUGGCAUUUUCAAAAUAAAAAAGGCUGAAAAAUCCCUGUAAUUAUAUAGCUAGUUUAUUGAAAAUGGACAGAAAAGUUAACCGAAGAAUGUCGCUUUAUGUAAAUAGAUCGACAUGAAGAAUUUUCUAUAUUACAGUUAUAUGUACCAGUAAUAUUGUUUUAAAUUAAUUAUGUACGUAAUGUAGAUAUAUGUACAUGUACCCCUUGUUACCUAAAUGAAUUAAAAGCAAAUUAAGAUCAGUUGCUCUUUUUCACUUGUAUAGUGGAAAGAUAGCCGACUAUUCUAUGUACGAAUUGACUUAUUAUAGGUAAGAUAGUCAGGCCUCCAUGUUUACAACCGGGAUGCUCACCCCACAUUUACAGUUGUGACCCACAUUUACAAAUGUGACAUCAUAGUAUCACUCUCGUUUGGCUUUUCGGAUAUUAUCAGUAUUGAUGCUGUCAGGAGUGAACAACCAUACAUGUAUCUGCCAGUUUGUAAAUGAUGGCAAGGACGAUGCAAACUCCACCAUAAACUCAGAGUGUUUAAUGGAAGGGAAUACCUAUGAUUGUUUGCUAAGAGAGACAUUGUGGUUGGGGAAGAGAUACUUCAUGUAUAUGACUAUGGUUGUGAUGGGAAAAGCUUGCGGUGGCGCAGCAAGAGUCCACCCCAAAUUCAUUGAGAGCUAGCCGCAACACAAUGGAAAAACAGGGCAUCUUGACCCUCAGAGAAAACAGUGAGCAUUUUGAAGCAGCAUUGAUUUCGGAUAAAGUAGGACCGAGUGACGGAAACG